CCCAAGCAGCUGAGCCAUGCCACAACUGCAUGAGUUUAGCUCUAAUUUAUGCUGGCGGAGGACGAAGCAUACUGCUGCUGCAUUCUGCCAUGCCUGGUCCCAAUUCACUCAUUCCAUCUCCUUACCCCAGGCUGGAGAGAGUCAUCUGGUGUAGGACUGCUUUCCUGACCCCCACUUCCCCUCAUACACAAAGACAUUUUCUAUUGGUUUAUCUCCAGCUAUAUAAUGCAAUGUUGACUUGUCAGACAAGAGAAGCUGGACCAUCUACUUAUGGAGGCCUAUCACCAGCCCUGUGAGAUGCUGUCAGGCAGCCUUAGCAUAAGGAGGCUCAGGAAUCUUCCCUUGGAACAUUUUGAAAUAUGAGGGCCUGAUCCAGCAAUCCUUGUGCAACAGAGCUUCCUUCACUGACUUCAGUAGAGUUUGUGUGUGAAGAGACGUCAGACUUGAGAUGAUAAUGCUGGGAAAGUGGGGGAGAUUUUGAAUAGCUAAUCUGUAAUAAAAUGUCAGACUUUUAUAUGGAAGUAUCAAUAUACUUCCAUAGAGCCCAGUCUACUACCAGUGACUAUCAUGGAAAAAGAUCAAGCUAGUAGUACUGUUUGUACAAAAUAAAUGCAUUUGUUUUUCUGCCUUUUCAAUGGCUGUUCUGAUUGUCUCAUGGUAAUUACUUUUGUACCUACUAACUAGCUCCUAAAUAAUUGAUAGGGAAAAAUAAAUGCAACAUGCAAUAAAGAGGCAAGUAAAACCUAUGGAGUUAGAGUAAUUACUGUACAUAGCUGGGCUAUGAAAAAUAAAUUACCUAAUCUCCUUACUUUAUGUGGUAAUAGUAAUUUGUCAUUUUAGUGAAUGAGAAGAUUAGAUGUUGAAUAUGUGCUAAGUUUGAAGGUCAAUUGAUUUAAAAAAAAACAUCAUUUGAAUUACUCACAUUGUAUCACUCACAUAUUUUUAGCUGAAAAACAUAAUUGUCUACCUUAAAAUAAUCUUACCUUGAGAUGCAGAAAAUGUAGAUUAGGGAUGGGAAAAGGCUUGGAAACAAUCCAAAACUACUUGAAUAUCACAAGUUCAUUUAAGUGGAACAUAACUGAAAUAUUACUGAAUCAGUUUAUUAUACCCCAGCUCCUGAUGGGAGAGAAAAUCUAAGUGAAGAUCAUGGGGCGGAUCCUCAUGACAAUUUACACCAGCUGAGGCUCUGUCUCUAGAUCUUUUAGGCUUCAAAGACUCGAGUAUAAGUAAAGAUGGUUCAUACGUUAGGGUUUUUUUUACUGGAUGCUGCCCAGCAUGGCUAAGCUAAUGCUACCCUUCAUCCUUUCAUUCAGCUUGCUUGUCAGUCACUUCAUCUUUCUGAGUUAAAGUGAGAACAAAACAAAACAAAACAAAAACAAAACAAAACUAAACACCUUAUGGAGGGAAGGGGGAACUCACAGCUUGAGAAAUCUCACAUGCAGAGAGACUUCAAGGACUUCUCAUUCUCACUGAAAUUUACCAGGCUGACACAGUAUAUGGUAUGUAAACAAGUCAUAGAAACAUAGGAACAUCUUAUGGAAAAGAUUUGUUGGGUCACUUGUUCAUUGCCAAUACAAGAUCAUUCAGUUCAUUACUCUCAAGUGCAUUGUCUAAUGUAGUUUUAAAUGACUAUCAAAAGUUUAUAUCAGUUUCCUUGUGUGAUUGUUCAAAUGGGCCAGCCUUGUGAAUGGAGGGAACCAGAAAGCUAUCAAACAUGGCUACAAUCAAACAGAUAAUGCUUAUAAGGGAAAUAGGGUGGGCUACAGUGUAAGGUUUAUUUUGUUAUGUUACUGUAGCCUCAAGUGUAUAUGACCUGCAUCUAAUUUGGUGUGUGUGCACACAUUCACAUUCAGAGAAAGGAUGCCUUCAAAUUCCAGUUCAAGAAGAUCAGAAAGCCUACAAAAUUUGUGGAUUAAUGAAAUUUAAAUGAGAAUCCAAAGCUUUUCAGAGUACUUCCUCUAGCAUAUAUUAUACAAAGACUGACAUGUAAAUAUUAUGGAAACAAACAUGUUAAAAAUUGCAUUACAAUAGUGAAUUAAUGACAUUUCAUGUUGAGUAUUGUCAAUGUUGGUAGAUGGGUUAGACUCUUCAAUCUCCAUUUCACUAAGGAAAAUGGCUUAGAAAAGUAGCUGAGUGUCUAAUGGAUUGAGAGUCAGAUAUCUGUUGCAUGAUUUGCAUCACUUUAGUUUAGAACAGUGGUUCUCAAACUUUUUUUUCCACGGACCACUUGAAAAUUGCUGAGGGAGUCUGAGGACCACUUAAUGAUCUUUCCAAAUGUUGU